GACGAACGCUGGCGGCGUGCUUAACACAUGCAAGUCGAACGGAAAGGCCCUGCUUUUGUGGGGUGCUCGAGUGGCGAACGGGUGAGUAACACGUGAGUAACCUGCCCUUGACUUUGGGAUAACUUCAGGAAACUGGGGCUAAUACCGGAUAGGAGCUCCUGCUGCAUGGUGGGGGUUGGAAAGUUUCGGCGGUUGGGGAUGGACUCGCGGCUUAUCAGCUUGUUGGUGGGGUAGUGGCUUACGAAGGCUUUGACGGGUAGCCGGCCUGGGAGGGUGACCGGCCACAUUGGGACUGAGAUACGGCCCAGACUCCUACGGGAGGCAGCAGUGGGAAAUAUUGCACAAUGGGCGGAAGCCUGAUGCAGCAACGCCGCGUGCGGGAUGACGGCCUUCGGGUUGUAAACCGCUUUCGCCUGUGACGAAGCGUGAGUGACGGUAAUGGGUAAAGAAGCACCGGCUAACUACGUG
rnacentral:rRNA from 1 species